CCCAGCUGUAGGCAACAGCCCAGGAUGUAUUGUACCUGCACAAGUGUUACACUGCUGGGAUAGAAGCAGCUAAGAGCUGGGGGCAUUCUGGACCUGGUUAAUGCCAGAUU
rnacentral:snoRNA from 1 species